UCCUACGGGAGGCAGCAGUGGGGAAUAUUGCACAAUGGGCGAAAGCCUGAUGCAGCGACGCCGCGUGAGGGAUGAAGGCCUUCGGGUUGUAAACCUCUUUCAGCAGGGAAGAAGCAGCCGGGUUUUCUUGGUUGUGACGGUACCUGCAGAAGAAGCACCGGCUAACUACGUGCCAGCAGCCGCGGUAAUACGUAGGGUGCAAGCGUUGUCCGGAAUUAUUGGGCGUAAAGAGCUUGUAGGCGGUUUGUCGCGUCUGCUGUGAAAUUUCGGGGCUCAACCCCAAACUUGCAGUGGGUACGGGCAGACUAGAGUGUGGUAGGGGAGACUGGAAUUCCUGGUGUAGCGGUGAAAUGCGCAGAUAUCAGGAGGAACACCGAUGGCGAAGGCAGGUCUCUGGGCCACUACUGACGCUGAGAAGCGAAAGCAUGGGGAGCGAACAGGAUUAGAUACCCUGGUAGUCCAUGCCGUAAACGUUGGGAACUAGGUGUGGGCCUCAUUCCACGAGGUCCGUGCCGCAGCUAACGCAUUAAGUUCCCCGCCUGGGGAGUACGGCCGCAAGGCUAAAACUCAAAGGAAUUGACGGGGGCCCGCACAAGCGGCGGAGCAUGCGGAUUAAUUCGAUGCAACGCGAAGAACCUUACCAAGGCUUGACAUGUGCCGGAAAAGUGCAGAGAUGUGCUCCCCGCAAGGUCGGUACACAGGUGGUGCAUGGUUGUCGUCAGCUCGUGUCGUGAGAUGUUGGGUUAAGUCCCGCAACGAGCGCAACCCUCGUUCUAUGUUGCCAGCACGUGAUGGUGGGGACUCAUAGGAGACUGCCGGGGUCAACUCGGAGGAAGGUGGGGAUGACGUCAAAUUAUCAUGCCCCUUAUGUCUUGGGCUUCUCGCAUGCUACAAUGGCCAGUACAAAGGGCUGCGAUACCGCAAGGUGGAGCGAAUCCCAAAAAACUGGUCUCAGUUCGGAUUGGGGUCUGCAACUCGACCCCAUGAAGUCGGAGUCGCUAGUAAUCGCAGAUCAGCAACGCCGCGGUGAAUACGUUCCCGGGCCUUGUACACACCGCCAU
rnacentral:rRNA from 1 species